ACUCAAAGGAAUUGACGGGGGCCCGCACAAGCAGUGGAUUAUGCGGUUUAAUUCGAAGCAACGCGAAGAACCUUACCAGGGCUUGACAUGGAAUCGACAGCGAUAGAGAUAUUGUCUCCCUUCGGGGCGAUUCACACAGGUGGUGCAUGGUUGUCGUCAGCUCGUGUCGUGAGAUGUUGGGUUAAGUCCCGCAACGAGCGCAACCCCUAUUGUUAGUUGCUACGCAAGAGCACUCUAGCGAGACUGCCGUUGACAAAACGGAGGAAGGUGGGGACGACGUCAAAUCAUCAUGCCCCUUAUGUCCUGGGCUACACGCGUAAUACAAUGGCGCAAAACAGAGGGAAGCGAGUCCGCGAGGAGGAGCGAAUCCCUAAAAGGCGUCUCAGUUCGGAUCGCAGGCUGCAACCCGCCUGCGUGAAGUCGGAAUUGCUAGUAAUCGCGGAUCAUCAUGCCGCGGUGAAUACGUUCCCGGGCCUUGUACACACCGCCCGU
rnacentral:rRNA from 1 species